UACGAAGGGGGCAAGCGUUGCUCGGAUUUAUUGGGCGUAAAGGGUGUGUAGGCGGUUUGAUAAGUUAGAUGUGAAAGCCCAGGGCUUAACCCUGGAAUUGCAUUUAAGACUGUCAGACUUGAAGUUUGGAGAGGUUAGCAGAAUUCCCAGUGUAGAGGUGAAAUUCGUAGAUAUUGGGAAGAACAUCGGUGGCGAAGGCGAUUUUCUGGGCCAUAUCUGACGCUGAGGUUCGAAAGCGUGGGUAGCAAACAGG
rnacentral:rRNA from 1 species